rnacentral:lncRNA from 1 species
ACCCAAAGCCACACUCAAGCUCUUCCCCAAACGGCGUCGUUGCGCCUCCGUCGUCCUCGCCUCUCUUCACGGCGACGCAAACGGCAAAAUCCUCGGCGGCGCUCUGGAAUUGGAACACUCGCCGUUUGACGACGACGCAUCGAAAGACCUGCACACUCUUCCAAGUAAUCAAUCAAUGUUUUGGCUCUGAUUCAUAUUUCUUAGUCCUGUAGAUUUAAUAGAAAAAUUGACAUUUCAAUUGAUUUGGAUUUUGCUGAUUCAGGACCUUUGUCUUCGACUUUCGUCUCGAAUUCGGUUUCGGAGGGCUCUCGGCUUCGUGUUGCUUAUCAGGUACCUAGCUCUCUAUAUUCCCUGUGCUUAACUUUUCU